UCCUCUGCUCCGCUACUUGGACCGCUAGCGCUGACCAUAACUACAGCUUGACAGACUGACCGCGCGCACCAUACACAUACUUUUUUUUUUCUUUUUCGAAUCUUCGGAUCACGUGUGUACCGAACCGUUGAGUGGGAUCGGUUCAGAUCUCGGAUCAACCGUGAUCUGUUGCACCACUAGUGGAGAGGCUGCCGCUAAUAGGCGCUAAGCUAUUUUGGCCCACACCCACUACAGAGUCCUGCUGAGCCACAGUCUCACAUUGUUUAUUGUUCCAGUUCAGUAAUUGUGAUCAGGAAGUGUGUGAAGUGAAAAAAAAAGAAGAUUGCGUUGGGCAGCUUGAAUAGCUUUUUUCCCCUUGACAACUAAAAUAAUAAAAUUAAAACUCAUUUUGUAUCUUGUCUACAAUUUGAAAUUUGCAAAAAAAUACUUCAUGCUACUGCAUGAUAGAAAGCAUCUGUAAGUGAUCUAAUAUAAAAACUGGUGGAUUGAAAAAAAGUCUGUUUGUCUGCCCUUUCAAACCACAGUAAACCUGCCUGGAGACACUGAAGUGUUGUGGAAACGCCAUGAACCCGAAUACAUGAAAGUCCACGUGUAUGAGAACGGCUCUGACCAGCCUGACAAACAGGACGACCAUUACAAAGGUCGAACAGAGAUGAAGAAAGACCUGCUGACCACUGGAGACCUCAGUCUGACCCUGAAAGACCCCAAAGUUUGAGACAGUGGGAAAUACGGCUGUCAGGUCAACAGCAAGGAGGCCUGGAGAUAUAAGAGGUUGUGGCUCACAGUCACAGAGAAUAAUCAGGCCAAGACACACACAGAAGACACCAGGAUCAGCUCCACUGAUCAUUUAGUUUGAUAUGUUUGUUUGAUUAUUGAUCUGAUCUGUACGAUUUAUACAUUAGUCUAUAUAAAAUAUUCAUUGAACUAAUAUACCCAAGAAUUCAUGUAAUAAACUGCAUUUAUAGA